rnacentral:rRNA from 1 species
CGGGUGAGUAAUACUUGGGUAAUCUACCCUCGAGAGGGAAACAACCUGCCGAAAGGCGGGCUAAUGUCCCAUAAGACCACAGGGAUGCAUAUUCCAGGGGUCAAAGCUCCGCAAGGGGCGCUUGAGGAGGAACCCGAGUCCUAUCAUGGUAGUUGGUGAGGUAACGGCUCACCAAGCCGUUGACGGGUAGCCGGCCUGAAAGGGUGACCGGCCACACUGGCACUGAGACACGGGCCAG